rnacentral:rRNA from 1 species
GCAUAUCAAUAAGCGGAGGAAAAGAAACUAACAAGGAUUCCCCUAGUAACGGCGAGUGAACCGGGAAGAGCUCAAAUUUGAAAUCUGGCGUCCUCAGGGCGUCCGAGUUGUAAUCUAUAGAGGCGUUUUCCGUGCCGGACCGUGUCCAAGUUCCUUGGAACAGGAUAUCAAAGAGGGUGACAAUCCCGUACUUGACACGACGACCGGUGCUCUGUGAUACGUCUUCUACGAGUCGAGUUGUUUGGGAAUGCAGCUCAAAAUGGGUGGUGAGUUCCAUCUAAAGCUAAAUAUUGGCGAGAGACCGAUAGCGAACAAGUACCGUGAGGGAAAGAUGAAAAGCACUUUGGAAAGAGAGUUAAACAGUACGUGAAAUUGUUGAAAGGGAAACGAUUGAAGUCAGUCGUGACCGAGAGGCUCAGCCGGUUCUGCCGGUGUAUUCCCCUCGGUCGGGUCAACAUCAGUUUUGUCCGGUGGAUAAGGGCGGUAGGAAGGUGGCACCCUCGGGUGUGUUAUAGCCUGCCGUCGCAUACAUCGGGUGAGACUGAGGAACGCAGCUCGCC